rnacentral:antisense_RNA from 1 species
GGAGAAUCUGAGACUUCUGAAGAGUUUCUUGCUUCUUUCCUGUGGGGCAGUGACUCCACUUCCCAGCAGUAAUGGAAUAUCCUGAAUUAGCUACAUUAAUGUUAGAACCAUUUGGACCUCACCCAGGACUUCAACUACAUUGUGGAUGUUACAAGAAAUGAGACUCACUACUGAAUUCACAGCAGGCAUGGUUGAAGGCACCAUUCACUAUAGCUUGCAGUAUUCCCUUUAUGAGAUUUGUAUGAGAAAUUCCUCUCGUAGGUCAAGUUCUUGGGAGAAAAUUCUCCCAAAGAGCAAGUCCCAGGAAAAGCUUGGCUGCUAAAGUUACAGAAUCCAAAUUUGGCAACUGCCUGCAUCUGAACAACAGAAGUUUCAACAUUCUGCCAACAGAGUAACUCCUGGACGACUGGCACAGAAGAAGGCACAAGGCAAAUACCCAUCUCUGUACACCCUGUGCUACUGUGUCAUGUGCUGCUCCAGGCAACUCCAAUGGAUUGGCCACCCUGGCCAAUGUGUUCUAGUAUGUUAGGUUUAUGUUCCCCUGCUUUCUACAAUCCUGUUCAAAGAGUUGCUGACUUAACCACAGAGAGAAUUCCAGAACAUGAGACACAGAAUAAACUUGAACAAUCAUAGUCCAUCCACUUCAUUUUCUCAUCGAAAACCAAAGGUCCAGUGAGGCUCUGGAACUCGACGCUGUAAAGGAGCGAAGGAGCAUCUAUACAGAACCUGGAUGCCUGUCUCCUUAUCCUACUUCAGCGGACUUGACUG